CAAUAUAUAUCAUGGGCCUAAUAUUAAAUCGGGCAAUAGUUCCAUCUAUGAUGCCAGGUAAUGUACCUUAUUUCAUUGUACAGCAUAACAAUAUAAAUUCUUAGUGCUGUAAACCUAAAGAUACAUAGUGUUUUGUUUAUUUUAGUUAUUUUUAUUUGUCAUGCAAUUAAGAUUUCACUAGCUAAUAAGUUUGUAGUAAUCAAAUUAUAGUUCAAU